AGAGGAACAAGGGAGGCUAAGGAGCUCUUGCAGCUGGGCCAGGCUCCUGAAAGGCAGAUGGGAAAGGUCUGUGGGAGGAGGCAAGGGAAACGGAGGGAAGCCUCCUGGGUCAGAGCUCAGGAAGGGAACUUCCAAGGAUGACCCUGAGCAGUCCCAGGAACCUCAGAGAUGGAGCUGCCCAGAUCCGUGAGCAGACAGAGCAAUACAUGUGUAGGGGAGUGAACAGAAAUGCAUGGGGAAAGGGAGCAAGUUCUCUGACCAGGGAUCAAACCCAUGUCCUCUGCACUGGAACCUCAGAGUCUUAUCCACUGGACCACCAGGGAAGUCCCCAUCCUCGUGUGUUAAGGAGGGGAGAGGCUCCCUGGAUGAGGACUCACUGGAGACAGAGACAGUGUCUGAUUCAGGGAGACCCGGUAACAACGUCCCUUGAACCCCAGGACCUGCCGACUGGAAUCUGGCCCCCACCUGCCCCUGCAGCUUCAGUCAUCAUAAUUGAGUCCCUGGCAGCUGUGCCCAGAUGCAGCUUCUACAAACAGGAAUUUGCCCCAAAUUUGCUCUGAGCAUCUCCCCUGGAUCAAGCCCAAGAUCCCUGAGGCUGGUCAGGGCAGCACAUAACUCAGUGACCUCUGCUCACUGUCUCUGCUGGUGACAACGGAAGAUGCAGAGGGGAAAGAAGGAGAACUUACUCCUGCAUUCAUUUGUUCAUUUAUUCAACACAUUUUUGUUGAGUCCCUACUUUAUGUUAGACAGUUUUAUUCUCUGGAACGCAAUCUUGAAUAAAACAGACCGAACUCUCAGCCCUCAUGGAGAAUAUAUUCAAAAGGUGAAACAGACAUUUAUUAGAUAAAAUAUACAAGGUCGGCUGGUGAUUGGCACCCUGGGGAAGGAUGAAGGAGCAGGGGGCACGGC
ensembl:lncRNA